rnacentral:rRNA from 1 species
UACAGAGGUGGCAAGCGUUGUUCGGAAUUACUGGGCGUAAAGGGCGCGUAGGCGGCCAUCUAAGUCAGACGUGAAAUCCCCCGGCUUAACCUGGGAACUGCGUCUGAUACUGGACGGCUGGAGUUUGGGAGAGGGAUGUAGAAUUCCAGGUGUAGCGGUGAAAUGCGUAGAUAUCUGGAGGAACACCGGUGGCGAAGGCGGCAUCCUGGACCGAAACUGACGCUGAGGAGCGAAAGCCAGGGGAGCAAACGGG